UGUAGAGUGUGUUUGUCGCCAUGUCGUCGAAACGCUGUUAUUUUCAUCCCGGAGUCCAAUCACCUUUGUUUGGCCUUCCCAGGGACGCUGUACUUAGAGAUCAAUGGUUACAAUUUAUGUUUAACUCGGUUCCCGAAAAUUAUAAUCCACACGUAAAACUAUGUGCAGCACAUUUUGCUAAGGACAGCUUCCUCAAUCUCAAUCAGUUUAAUGCCGGAUUCGCACAAAGAUUAUUUUGAAAGAUGGAGCAGUUCCCUCUUUGUCUGGAGAAGGCGUUGUUUAUGGACCACAACCGAGUUCAUCUCAGCAGGGACCACGUUCCCAAGAGCUCCCUGCAACAUCUUCUGUACAUGAAGCUGGAUGUCAGACAGACUCUGCAAACACCGAAACAUUGGCCAUACAGAUAUCAGCAAAGAUGCGAUCAGUGGGCACACAACUUUCUGUUGGUACACUGAGGGAUGUCCACAUAAGAAGCAAAGGCAUUCAGGCAACAGUUUCCAGUCUUUUAUAUAGGAAUGUUGUGCAGGUUGUAUCUCGCAGCCAUGUACUACAAUGAGAAUGCCCAGCGUCCACAGGCAACAACAACACAAGGAGAGGCUGUUUUCAAAAUCACUUUUCCGAAGUCAAAACAAGGGGAAUGCACAGCCAAGACCCAACAUUUAACUAUGUCGAUGACCUGAUGAGUCUUCUACUACACAAAGUCAUUGUGGACCCAACACCAUAUGUAGAAGAACUACAUCAGAUCACCAUUCCACCUCCCCUGUCAUCAGAGUUUGAAAAACCCUGCAAGAAAGAUGUCAUUGCCCCCCAUGUGUCUCGGUUUAGUCAAGGGGUGGCCGAAAUCCAACGUACUGUACAGCUGGAUCAGGAAACUGCUGGUGUAUCCGGCGAACAACACAAGACGGGAUGACGACCCUCACAUGUCGUCCUAAGUAGCACCAGCUGACAAAGCUGCGAUAUGCCGCAAAACAGAAACGCCUAUGGCAUUGAACCAUAAAGACAAAGUAAACAAAUGGUUCAUUAACAUCAUGUGUACAUAUGUUUGUAAAAAAUACAUUGUUUUAAACAUUUAAUUUUUUUUAUUCUUAUAUAACUAAAGUUAUACAUUGUUUAAUUUUAUUAUAUUUAAU